AGCAGCCGCGGUAAUUCCAGCUCCAAUAGCGUAUAUUAAAGUUGCUGCAGUUAAAAAGCUCGUAGUUGAAUUUCGGGACCAAUAUGUUGGUCGUGCUUUUGUACGUACUGAUAUAAUUGGUUUCUCCCUUCUGAAGAAUCUUGAUGUCAUUAAUUUGGUGUCUUGGGGAAUCAGGACUGUUACUUUGAAAAAAUUAGAGUGUUUAAAGCAGGCUCGCGCUUGAAUACAUUAGCAUGGAAUAAUGAAAUAGGACGUUUGAUUCUAUUUUGUUGGUUUCUAGGAUCGACGUAAUGAUUAAUAGGGAUAGUUGGGGGCAUUAGUAUUCAAUUGUCAGAGGUGAAAUUCUUGGAUUUAUUGAAGACUAACUACUGCGAAAGCAUUUGCCAAGGAUGUUUUCAUUAAUCAAGAACGAAAGUUAGGGGAUCGAAGACGAUCAGAUACCGUCGUAGUCUUAACCAUAAACUAUGCCGACUAGGGAUCGGAUGA
rnacentral:rRNA from 1 species